GACGUAGGGCGCGAGCGUUGUCCGGAUUUAUUGGGCGUAAAGAGCUCGUAGGCGGCUUGUUGCGUCGACUGUGAAAACCCGCGGCUUAACUGCGGGCUUGCAGUUGAUACGGGCAGGCUAGAGUUCGGUAGGGGAGACUGGAAUUCCUGGUGUAGCGGUGAAAUGCGCAGAUAUCAGGAGGAACGCCGGUGGCGAAGGCGGUUCUCUGGGCAUUACCUGACGCUGAGGAGCGAAAGUGUGGGGAGCGAACAGG
rnacentral:rRNA from 1 species